rnacentral:rRNA from 1 species
UACGUAGGGUGCGAGCGUUGUCCGGAUUUAUUGGGCGUAAAGAGCUCGUAGGCGGUUUGUCGCGUCUGCUGUGAAAACCGGAGGCUCAACCUCCGGCCUGCAGUGGGUACGGGCAAACUAGAGUGCGGUAGGGGAGAUUGGAAUUCCUGGUGUAGCGGUGGAAUGCGCAGAUAUCAGGAGGAACACCGAUGGCGAAGGCAGAUCUCUGGGCCGUAACUGACGCUGAGGAGCGAAAGCGUGGGGAGCGAACGGG